rnacentral:rRNA from 1 species
UACGUAGGGUCCGAGCGUUGUCCGGAAUUAUUGGGCGUAAAGGGCUCGUAGGCGGUUCGUCACGUCGGGAGUGAAAACUCGGAGCUCAACUCCGAGCCUGCUUCCGAUACGGGCAGACUAGAGGUAGGCAGGGGAGAGCGGAACUCCUGGUGUAGCGGUGGAAUGCGUAGAUAUCUGGAGGAACACCGGUGGCGAAGGCGGCAUCCUGGACCAACACUGACGCUGAGUGAGCGAAAGCCAGGGGAGCAAACGGG